rnacentral:rRNA from 1 species
GAGUUUGAUCGUGGCUCAGAUUGAACGCUGGCGGCAUGCCUUACACACGCAAGUCGAACGGCAGCAUGAUCUAGCUUGCUAGAUUGAUGGCGAGUGGCGAACGGGUGAGUAAUACAUCGGAACGUGCCCUGUAGUGGGGGAUAACUAGUCGAAAGAUUAGCUAAUACCGCAUACGACCUGAGGGUGAAAGUGGGGGACCGCAAGGCCUCAUGCUAUAGGAGCGGCCGAUGUCUGAUUAGCUAGUUGGUGGGGUAAAGGCCCACCAAGGCGACGAUCAGUAGCUGGUCUGAGAGGACGAUCAGCCACACUGGGACUGAGACACGGCCCAGACUCCUACGGGAGGCAGCAGUGGGGAAUUUUGGACAAUGGGCGAAAGCCUGAUCCAGCAAUG